CACAGUUGGACCAACGCUUACAAACAGUAACUACAAUGCAGAAACAUACGCAUCGUAUUUCAGUG
rnacentral:misc_RNA from 1 species